CAAUCCGGGAAAGGAGGGGCGGUGGGGGACGGGGGACCGGCGGGGUCCGGCGCUCGCGGCCCUGGAGGACCUGGGGACUGCCUGGCUCCUCAGGAAGGAUUAGUAAAACUCCUAUCGGGUGGUUGGAAAUAAGCAAAAAACGAAAAGGAAGAAUAGUUCAGGUAAUUUUGCAGUGUCAUUAAGUCAGUUGAUAGCCAAGAAGCUUGACAGGUCCCAGAAGUCUAAGCAGAACAACUGGGAGUUCAAGUCUUUAAAAUAAAUGUCCAAGUAUAAAAUUCGGUCAUUGGUCAUAAGCUGGGACAGAGUCCACAAAGAGGAAAAAUGGCACAGCAAGGAACACCAGCUGCAGGCCACUCCACCCUCAGCCCAGCCCUUGGAGCCCUGGCCUGGGCAGAACCCAGGAUCUACCUACACAACCGAGAGGAAACGUCACGCUGAGGGAAUUGUCGCACCUGUCCGUAGUCUCAGGCUUCUCGCAGGUGACUUGGGAGAAAAGAUUCUUACUAUGAAGAUUCAAGAUGUCUAGCAGUAAGAACUGUGUUGGGCACAGGGUAGGUUUAAGGAGAUUACUAGGUAAAGAAACACUGAAGUAGAAUUUCGAGUAAUGCGAGGAAACAGCAGCGGAUAGGUGGCUUGGUGUGGGUGAGGGAAGCCACUUGGAGCGAGUGAAGAUUUCUGGAAGCAAACAGCAAGCAGAAACUUUUAGAUGUCAACAGUUCUGAAAGAAAAAAACACUACACAAUAAAACAUGGCUGUGUGUUAACUGGAUGGUCUUCUACACCCAUCCUUGGGGACCUGACACUUUUGACCACAGCCAGAGACCUGGACACUCUCCAUCUUUAAGUAAGAAAGAAAAGACCAUAUUUACCCAGGAUUCCUCCUCUGUCUUGCUCUCCCUUCCAAUUCAGAACAUCCCCAAUCCUCUGUGGCAGGUCUGAGCUUUCUUGUGAACCCCUCAGUUGUGCCUUGACCUUCAAUGGGCUAUACGAACUUUUGCUUUACUUUCUCUAGAACCGACUUCCUAUAUUUUGUGUCCUCCUCAUGGUCCCAUCAUUUAAGAACUGAUGUCACUGUUUCCCUGGGGAAAUUCCUACCCACUCGGAGCUUCCUUGGUUUCACGACUCUUUUAUCAACAUCUUUUCAUUUCACUAACUAUUUCACCAAAAAGAGCUUCUAAGUAUAACAUGGAUGACUGUAUUUAACUUUUGCAGGCACUUUAGCUUGUUUAUUUCCAGAAACACUGCUCGGAGGGCUGGGGAUCUUUACACCACGUUAAGAUAUUUGACUUGGAUCUGUUUUUCAUGGGAAGCUGGUACUUUACUGAUUCCAGACUUUCAGAAUUCACAGUUGGGAGCAAACCAGCGAAGGCGGGUGGAGACGGCACCGCAAAGAGCUGCAGGGCCAUCUAGUGGCCAGAUGUCCACACUGCAGUGCGAGUGACGCUGUUCCUGCCAAUCCUGCCCCCAAAUGGAGAACUCACACCUAAGAGUUUUUGGCGUUAAGGAUCAACCCUUGUUACUUUGUGGCAUUUUUGAAAUUCGUUUUAUAAAUGUUCCUACAGCCUUUGACUUCAAAGGAUUGCCUUGCCUUAAAUGCGAAGACUGAGCUUCCAGCCAUUGAAUGGUGAUUCUGAGCGGUGUUUCCUGGUUCAGACAGGCCUGGGUUAGAAUUUGCUGUCUGGGUGACUUUAGGCAAGUUAUUUAAACUCUCUGACCUUCAGUUUCCUCUUGUACAAUGGAUAUAGUAAUAGUGGGCAGGCUUGUUCUGAAGAUAAAGGGAAGCAUGCAUGUCAUGUAUUUUUGGCUGUUCCUAACAUGUAAAUAUUGCUAUUGGUUUAUUCAACACUUAUGGAAAGACGGUGUAGCCCACGAAAAGGGACAGAAAUUCACCCACCCAAAUAGGCCAAGGUAAAAGACUUCAUACGAGAUUCCUGAGCAGUAUCCCAAAA